CCCCUGAGUCCCCAGUGUAGCCCCAUAUGAGCUCGCAGUAUUUUCCUUGUAUGAUUGGGCCCAUUGCUGGUGGCGCUGCUGGCCUGGAGCCUGAGAGGAUUAUGAAAACAGGUCAGACGAAGUGUGGCUCAGGACUGGGG